UCUCAGCUCAACGAAUUGUGGAAAAAAAGGGACACAGAAGUGGUUGUGUCUGUGGUCCCCUCUCACAUAACAGGGAACAGCAUACUCAUCCACCAUAGUGAGCUACGGACACUUCGGCCUCACUUCUGGAUUACAGGCGAGAUCAUUGAGAGUCUCUUCCAUCACACUGUCAACGACCUCAAUUUGGGGAGAAGAAUUUAUAUUCUCAAUCAUUACGUAGCUGGUGUGAUCCUUUUUGGGAAGAGAGAAGUGGUAAGAAGGAACAGUUUAUCCAGGACCAACUUCGACAACUACCAAGCAAUAG